GGUUAUAGCUUGGUAGGAGAGCAUCUGCUUUGUAAGAAGAAGGCCCCAGGUUCCAUCCCUGGCUAGGAGGGAGCCU